GUAGGGAAUAUUGGGCAAUGGGUGCAAGCCUGACCCAGCCAUCCCGCGUGCCGGAUGAAGGCCCUCUGGGUCGUAAACGGCUUUUGACGGUGAAGAACCGAAAGGGUGCGCCCUUUUUUGACGGUAGCCGUUGAAUAAGCACCGGCUAACUCCGUGCCAGCAGCCGCGGUAAUACGGAGGGUGCGAGCGUUGUCCGGAUUUAUUGGGUUUAAAGGGUGCGUAGGCUGGAGGGACAGUCAGCGGUGAAAAGCAGUUGCUCAACAAUUGUCUUGCCGCAGAUACUACCUUUCUUGGAUUGGGAGGAGGUUACCGGAACGGAUGGUGUAGCGGUGAAAUGCAUAGAUAUCAUCCAGAACGCCAAUUGCGAAGGCAGGUAACUGUACCUAUAUCGACGCUGAUGCACGAAAGCAUGGGUAGCGAACAGGAUUAGAAACCCGAGUAGUCC
rnacentral:rRNA from 1 species